GAUGAACGCUGGCGGCGUGCCUAAUACAUGCAAGUCGAGCGAACAGACGAGGAUCUUGCUCCUCGGACGUUAGCGGCGGACGGGUGAGUAACACGUGUAUAACCUACCUAUAAGACUGGGAUAAUUUCGGGAAACCGGAUCUAAUACGGGAUAAUAUAUUGAACCGUAGGGUUCAUUAGUGAGAGACGGUGUUGGGGGCACUUAUAGAUGGAUCCGCGCCGCAUUGGGUAGUUGGUGAGGUAACGGCUUAUCAAGGCUACGAUGCGUAGACGAGCUGUGAGGGUGAUAGGCCACCCUGGAACGGAGACACGCUCCAUACUACUACGGGAGGCCGCAGUAGGCAACGUGCCGCAAUAGGGGAAAGCCUGACGGAAGAACGCGGCGUGAGUGACGAAGGUGCUGCGAUCGUAAAACUGUGUUACUAGUGGAGAACCAAUGUGUACGUAAAUAUGGACGUCUUGACGGUAACUAAUAAGAAAGCAACGGCUAACUACGUG
rnacentral:rRNA from 1 species